GUGUUGUAUGAAAGGAGAGAAGGUUAGCACUCCCCUUGACAAGGAUGGAAGAGGCUUUGAACUGCAACAUACAUUUGGCCAAGGCACUGCCACCUACUUUGUUUGCAAUGAAAGAAUCUACUUUUUUUU